UAUGCAGUGUUGCUGGAGGCCCUUGC
rnacentral:piRNA from 1 species